rnacentral:rRNA from 1 species
GAUGGACGCUGGCGGCGUGCUUAACACAUGCAAGUCGAACGAAACACCUUAUUUGAUUUUCUUCGGAACUGAAGAUUUGGUGAUUGAGUGGCGGACGGGUGAGUAACGCGUGGGUAACCUGCCCUGUACAGGGGGAUAACAGUCAGAAAUGACUGCUAAUACCGCAUAAGACCACAGCACCGCAUGGUGCAGGGGUAAAAACUCCGGUGGUACAGGAUGGACCCGCGUCUGAUUAGCUGGUUGGUGAGGUAACGGCUCACCAAGGCGACGAUCAGUAGCCGGCUUGAGAGAGUGAACGGCCACAUUGGGACUGAGACACGGCCCAAACUCCUACGGGGGGCAGCAGUGGGGAAUAUUGCACAAUGGGGGAAACCCUGAUGCAGCGACGCCGCGUGAGUGAAGAAGUAUUUCGGUAUGUAAAGCUCUAUCAGCAGGGAAGAAAAUGACGGUACCUGACGAAGAAGCCCCGGCUAACUACGUG